rnacentral:rRNA from 1 species
GAUGAACGCUGACAGAAUGCUUAACACAUGCAAGUCUACUUGAACUUCGGUUUGGGUGGCGGACGGGUGAGUAACGCGUACAGAACUUGCCUCACAGUUAGGGACAACAUUUGGAAACGAAUGCUAAUACCUGAUAUUAUGAUUUUAGGGCAUCCUAGGAUUAUGAAAGCUAUAUGUGCUGUGAGAGAGCUUUGCGUCCCAUUAGCUAGUUGGAGAGGUAACGGCUCACCAAGGCGAUGAUGGGUAGCCGGCCUGGGAGGGUGAACGGCCACAAGGGGACUGAGACACGGCCCUUACGCCUACGGGAGGCAGCAGUGGGGAAUAUUGGACAAUGGACCAAAAGUCUGAUCCAGCAAUUCUGUGUGCACGAUGACGUUUUUCGGAAUGUAAAGUGCUUUCAGUUGGGAAGAACAAAAUGACGGUACCAACAGAAGAAGUGACGGCUAACUACGUG